CUGGCUCAGGAUGAACGCUGGCGGCGUGCCUAACACAUGCAAGUCGAACGGAGUUUAGCGCUGAUGAAG
rnacentral:rRNA from 1 species